AGGAAGGAAAGGCAGCCUCCCCAGGUUCCUGAUGUUCCGUCGUUCCAGAACCACCACGUGAGGACUAGAAGGAGCCCCGGGGAAACCGUGGCUCCAUCUGUGUCUCAGAACAGGUUUAUUUCGGCCAAGCGCACAUCUGUUGAGAAGGACACGCGUAUCUGGGAAAAUAGGGCAUUGGCUCUCUCUUCUGCCGCAGACUCACCAGCGCGACUUCCAGCUGCUUCGUCCGUU